GAUGAACGCUGGCGGCGUGCCUAAUACAUGCAAGUCGAGCGAACAGAUGAGGAGCUUGCUCCUCUGACGUUAGCGGCGGACGGGUGAGUAACACGUGGAUAACCUACCUAUAAGACUGGGAUAACUUCGGGAAACCGGAGCUAAUACCGGAUAAUAUAUUGAACCGCAUGGUUCAAUAGUGAAAGACGGUUUUGCUGUCACUUAUAGAUGGAUCCGCGCCGCAUUAGCUAGUUGGUAAGGUAACGGCUUACCAAGGCAACGAUGCGUAGCCGACCUGAGAGGGUGAUCGGCCACACUGGAACUGAGCCCCGGUCCAGACUCCUACGGGAGGCAGCAGUAGGGAAUCUUCCGCAAUGGGCGAAAGCCUGACGGAGCAACGCCGCGUGAGUGAUGAAGGUCUUCGGAUCGUAAAACUCUGUUAUUAGGGAAGAACAAAUGUGUAAGUAACUAUGCACGUCUUGACGGUACCUAAUCAGAAAGCCACGGCUAACUACGUG
rnacentral:rRNA from 1 species